ACGGCGACGGCCAAGAGGGGGCUGAUACCUGCUUAUGGAGAGGGUAUGGCGCGGCGGCGUGGGAAAAGGCGAUGACCCAGCACAAGCGGAACUCCGCGACGAGGGCUCCGAGUCGCGGCGGUUCUUUGAGCUCCAAAGCAGCAGCGGAUCUGGGGGGGUGCAGGUGCGACGACGGGGCAGCUACGGCGGUCCGUUAGCUUCUCAAAUCUGGCACCUUUCCCUCCGAUUCCUCUCUCUCAGACCCGACCCUCUCGAACCUCUCCCCCUCGCUUCUCACUCCGGCUAGAUCCGAGCCUCCACCGGCCGGAUCUAACCUCCCCGAACUCGCUCACCGGCGACCUCCCCCGAAGUCUCUCAGUGGGAGGUCAGCCGAGCUCGCGACCCGAGUCCUCUCUCGCUCGCUCUUCGAUUCCUCCCCCGAAGUCUCUCAGUGGGAAGAUCUCAGAGCUCGCGAUACCGUUCGUCGACGGAGGUGCUCCUCUAUUUAUAGGCGAGGAGGUCCGGUCGACGGAGCUUCGACCGGCGGUCCCCUUCGCGCACCGAGCAAUUCUCCUCGACUGGACCGGCGUCUCAUCCGAGCUUAUCCAGCGAAGCGUGCUCGGCAUUGAUGGCGCCCGAGAUCUUAUCCUCUCCGGCCGACGUCGGCCUACUCUCCUCGGCCGUAGGCCGUCCUUUGCGCGCGUCGUCAUCUUCUGCGCGUGAACUACAGAGGCAGAGAAAGAAGGAACGAGGAAGAAGAAGAGGGAAGAAGAAGAAAGAAAAAGAAGGGGAAAAGAGGGGUGGGGCCAAGUCGUGCGAAAGGAAAAAAGAAAGAAAAGGGGGCUGACUGCUUUUCUUGCUUUUAUUAUUAUUUUUUUGUUUUUGUUUUUGUUUUUGUUAUUUAUUUUGUUUAUUAUCCGAAAAAGGAAAAACAAAGAUUAAAAGAAAUUAAAGCCUAACUAACCAAAAUUUUAGGUGUCAACAGCUGCCCUCUUUGAAGGUGAGUUCGCAGAGGUUGCAUUCAAAGAUAAACCGGAUACCUAAAUUUUGUCUAUAUAUAUGCAAUAGAUUAUAUGAUAUUUAGGACCUAGUGUCCUAUGCAGAAAAUGAGCAAUAUAACAUUGCAUAUACUAAGACAGAUAAGAAGAUACCUGUAGUUACUUACCGGGAGUGAGUGAGAUAGGGUGUGAACCCCGAGUUUUGGUAAGUAUCAAGGCGUCAUCUUACCUGGUGAUAUGAGGAGGUUGCUUUUCCAGGGCUCGAACCAUUCUUCGGUCACCUGUUAAAACAAUCAAUGAUUUGUCUAGGACCCGAACCUUUCUUCGGUCACCUUGACGGGAGACUGCUCUUCCAGGACCCGAACCAUUCUUCGAUCGCCUGUUGGAGUAAUCAGUGGUUUGUCUCGGACCCGAACCAUUCUUCGGUCGCCGUGACGGGAGACUGCUCUUCCAGGACCCGAACCAUUCUUUGGUCGCCUAUUGGAGUAAUCAGUGGUUUGUCUCGGACCCGAACCAUUCUUCGGUCGCCGUGACGGGAGAUUGCUCUUCCAGGACCCGAACCAUUCUUCGGUCGCCUGUUAAAACAAUCCAUGAUUUGUCUAGGACCCGAACCUUUCUUCGGUCGCCUUGACAGGAGAUGCACCGACCUUUCUCAGGGCAUCUCAUUUGUGGGUGCCUGAUUUGUAUCGAGGACACCAGUUGGUACCCGACCUUUCUCGGGAGAUGCGCCGACCUUUCUCAAGGCAUCAUAUUUGUUGGGGUGUCUGACCUCUGUCAAAGACACUGGUUGGAACCCGACCUUUCUCGGGAGGAUGCACUGACCUUUCUCAGGGCAUCGAUUUGUGGGGUGCCUGACUUCUGUCGAAGACACCAGUUGGAACCCGACCUUUCUCGGGCAGAUGCACUGACCUUUCUCAGGGCAUCGAUUUGUGGGGCGUCUGACUUCUGUCGAAGACACCAGUUGGAACCCAACCUUCUCGGGAGGAUGCGCCGACCUUUCUCAGGGCAUUUGUUUUGUUGGGGUGUCUGACUUCUGUCAAAGACACCAAUUGGAACCCGACCUUUCUCGGGAGGAUGCGCCGACCUUUCUCAAGGCAUCUGUUUUGUUGGGGUGUCUGACUUUUGUCAAAGACACUAGUUGGAACCCGACCUUUCUCGGGAGGAUGCACCAACCUUUCUCAGGGCAUCGAUUUGUGGGGCGUCUGACUUUUGUCGAAGACACCAGUUGGAACCCGACCUUUCUCGGGAGAUGCGCCGACCUUUCUCAGAGCAUCUGUUUUGUUGGGGUGUCUAACUUCUGUCAAAGACACCAGUUGGAACCCGACCUUUCUCGGGAGGAUGCGCCGACCUUUUUCAGGGCAUCAAUUCUGGAAGAUACCUGGACAUUCACAAGCAUAUCAAAGAGUACCUAGAUAUUCACAAGUACUAACAUGAAGGAUAUUUGGGCCUUUGCAGGCGUCGAAAUGGGUAUUUGGCUGACCAUAGGCACUGAAAGGGUACUUGGAUGAUCACAAGUAUGAAUUCUUGGGGGAUACCUGGAUGAUCACAAGCAUUGGAGGGGUACCUGGACAAUCACAGGUACAAACUCUUUGAGGAUACCUGGAUGAUCACAAGUAUCGAAAGGAUACCUGGACGAUCAUAGGUACAAACUCUUUGGGGAUACCUGGAUGAUCACAAGUAUCGAAGGGGUACCUGGAUGAUCACAGGUACAAACUCUUUGGGGAUACCUGGAUGAUCACAAGUAUCGAAGGGGUACCUGGAUGAUCACAAGUAUCGAAGGGGUACCUAGAUGAUCACAGGUACAAACUCUUUGGGGAUACCUAGAUAUUUGUGAAGGUCUCUCACCUCUUGGUGAUGGGAAUUUCGAGGGCAUGCCCCGCUUAUUCAUAAAGGUCUCUCACCUCUUGGUAAAGGGGAAUAUCGAGGAUGUGCCUCGCAUAUUCAUGAAGGUCUCUCACCUCCUGAUAAUUGGGAAUAUCAAGGAUGUGCCUGAGAUAUUCGUGAAGGUCUCUCACCUCCUGGUAAAGGGGAAUAUCGAGGGCGUACCUGAGAUAUUCAUGAAGGUCUCUCACCUCCUGGUAAAUGGGAAUAUCGAGGACAUGCCUGAGAUAUUCGUGAAGGUCUCUCACCUCCUGGUAAAGGGAAUGUCGAGGGCAUGCCCCGCUUAUUCAUAAAGGUCUCUCACCUCUUGGUAAAGGGGAAUAUCGAGGACGUAUCUGAGAUAUUCGUGAAGAUCUCUCACCUCCUGGUAAAGGGAAUUUGAAUGUAGCACGAGGCUUACCUGGAUUGCCGCAGGCACUUAAAAAGGGUGGAACACCUGGAUAACCACAGGUGUACAAAGUACUGGGAUACUUGGAUGAACACAAGUAUUUAAUGAUACAACCUGGGACCACUCAGUUGGUCCAAGUGUAAGAAAGCAUACCUGGGUAGGCGCAGGCACACAAAGCAGUGUAAUGCUUGAACAACUGCUAUUAUUUGGGGACAACUCAGGCAAGUUGAGUGUCAUGAAAAGGAAGUACCUAGACAACGGUGGGUACUUGACAAUAUAGGGAUACCUAGACAGCAGUAGGUAUUCCAAGAGAUACUUGGUUAGUCAUAAGUAUCAAUACUCUGGGGACAACUCAAACGGGUUGAGUGUCAGAAAAAGGGAGUAUCCGAACGGUGGCCGGUACUCAAAGACGAUAGGGAUACCUAGACAGCAGUAGGUAUUUAACGAUAAAUGGAUACUUGGUCAGUCACAAGUAUCAAUACUCCGAGGACAACUCGAACAGGUCGAGUGUCGUUAAGAGGGAGUACCCGACAAGUGGUGGGUACUCAAAGACAACGGGAUACUGAGACAAUUGCAAGCACCCAAGCUCAAGGGACGACUCGAAUAGGUCGAGUGUCAAGAAGAGAGUACCUGGACAGUGAUAGGUACCUUAAGACAAAUGGGGAUAAAGAUAUGCUUACCUGGCAAUAUCUCUGAUCUCUAUGAGUAUGUCUGCUAUUUGCAUAGUAUGCACACAUGAUUGUAUAUGCUGUAAAUUCAUGAGUUCAAAUGAGAUUCAUGCAUGAUAAUUUUGUCAGUUCUGCAUCUUUUGAUUUCCACUGGGGAAGAUUUUGAAAGACAACCUUCAUUUAGAAUGUAGAUGUCUUGAGCAUGCCAGAUGAGGGACUUUUAGUCUGAAAGGACUUUCCGCUCACUCUCAUGGAAAAUGCUAUCCUGACCAUUGAUGCAGGAUUUAUAAGGACCACACUUCUCACUGUCAUCAUGUCAGCAGGGGUCUAAGUAUUCUCGCAAGUGGUACGACUUUACCAAUGUGAGAGGUCUUUGUUGAAAUUGUGAUGAAGACUUGGUCAAUAGCUCAUCAAAUGGGACCGUCGAGGUCAAGGCUCAUGAAUGAAGUGCCGCACGAUCAUCUCCAGGUUUGCAAGUCAAGAGUCCUGCGAAAAGAGAUAGAAUAGUCUUGCUCGUACUUCUUCGAGCGAUGCUUAUAGACAUAUGAAAUCCUACGUUAAUUGAAGUGCCCCUAAUCUGAAGAGACUUUUACAAUGGGAAUGUAACGGAGAUUUGGCUCACAUGUAAGAGGGUGAGAGUUUGUGACUGUCUUGGCAUUUGUCACUAGUCUUUCUUGUCAGAUGGAGGUUCUAUGGACCACAACAGCAACUUUUUCCUGGCUGUAUUUUUAACUGGGGGGCAUUGGCCUUGCUUUUACCAGGCGCACUGCUUUUUUCAUGCCCCUAAUUUUAUUCCAGUUCUUCUUUUAUGGGCAUUGACCUUGCUCUUACCAGGUACACUUGCUUUUUUAUGCCCCUGUUUUUUCAUUCUUUGUCGUUAAAGGAACUAGCCUAGGCAAGUUCAAACACGACACUGUUGUUAGACUCUUGAGUCUUCGUCUUCAGCUAGCGCUCCGAGCUAUGCUGUUUAAAUGGUAGUAACUUCUGUUUUGUCUCAAUGUGAGGGUAAAAUUACAAACUCACUUGGGUUGUACAAUGAAUACAAGUACGUAGAGAAAGAAUUGCUCUUCGUCAUUCUAGGGCACGUAAAUUAACGCGAGUGUUCAUAUGCAAUAAAGACACCCGAAGAUUGAUGCAAGUGCGAGCAAGAAAAUUUCUAUACCUCUUCUCACCUUGUGAUGUUGCUUUGCCUCCGCCCUGCCCCAGUGUGGGGUGGUUCUUGACGAGGGUAUGAGAGAAGCUUCACCAAUGUAUGGGGCUCAAUGAGGUGAGCGAUGAAAUGCCUCUCACUAUUUUGGUUAUCGUACCAUUCGCGAGAGAACUCUUUACCUUGCAGCCAUGGAAUCUUCUGCACUCAUCUCACAAGUGUAUAGAUGGGGGACUAUGUGUAGGAUAUGGCUUGCCUUUCAUCAUUCUGACACGCCUCAUCCAGCAUGCUCAAUUAAUCUUGUAUUAUUCACUUAGCUGUCUAUUUUUAUAAUCCUCAGUGGAAUCAGUGACUUAGACAGGCAAAAUCAUUAUGCAGAAUUCAUCUGGAAACGACAUGCAACAUUUCGAAUAUGAUGGAGUUUGAACUCUUCAAAACAAGUGAAUGGUUUUGACUCAAAAAAGACCCUAUUGACAACUUUAGGGGCUAACAUAAUGGUAUUUCCAAAUAUGUUAGAUUUUGAACAUCAAAAGGGUUAUUCGCAAAUGGGUGUCGAUAGUGGUCCCUAUUGGUUAGGGAUAUGACACAUGAAGGAUUAGUCGGGGUUGGGAAUCUGAUCGGGCCUCUUUGCUUUUGCCCCUACAGAAGAGAAGAUGUACAAGUAGAUCAAUUAGUCUGGCCAAAAUUAAAUGUGAGUUGAGGCCUGAAGAUUUUCUGUCAUUUGCUUUGGCGAUUACUCAAGACGCCAUUUCAUUUAGGAGAGUUUGUCAUGCCUCUCAUUGAUUAUUAUCCUUGUCAAGUGAUCCUGCAACAAGACAUGCUUCUUGUUGAUUUGUUAUCCUUGCUUUUGACAGUCAGGUGAUCCUGCAACAAACAAGAGGGAAUGUGUUAGUCAUGAACUCUUUCAAGAGUCGAAUAACUGGAAUCGAUACAACUUUACCCUUCAGCUUGCAGAUGAUUGGGUGAACCUGAAGUGAGAAGGGGGACACGAAGUCCUCUGUCCCUUGUUUCGUUAGGUCAAUUAUUCUCUGAAUUAGCUCCUGGAUGAUAUGUCUUUUUACACGAAACUAGGUAAAUUUGAUGUAGGUCAUUUCCAUAUACUAGCUUGGCCAAUAUUGAUUUGCCUAACCAUCAAAUUUGGCUCUUGAAUCCUGGUGCUUCCUGCCAAUAGGGAGAAUAUGUCAAAAGUGAAUUCAAAGAGGGGGGAGUAUUGGAAACGAUACCAAAUUACUCUUCCCCAAAGUUUGUAUUUGCUGACUCCUGAUGAUGUUUGAAUGUCGAUGACAGCCUUUUCGUCUUGGCAUAGUUUGACAUUUCUUUCGAUUGGCCUUCCUCACUUGUGACCAUGUAUGCAUGAUUGUUGGUCGUUGAUUCAUCUUCAACGCUUUCCUUCUGUGGAAUUUCUCCUCCUGUCUUUAACUAUAGCAUCAUUGGGCAAAAGUCAUGUACCUCAAGCUUCUAUGGAAUCUGAGAUGGAAAGUCUCAAGCUUUCUGAUGGCAAUUACUCCUCGGAAGAAUACGCGUCUUGGGUGAAGUUUCUAGAUUCCAACAUCAUUGUCUAGGAUGUGGGGCUAUAGAUCGCUUUGACUGUCUAGAUUUUCUUCCUGUUGACAGUAAUCACUUUAAAGGAAGAGAAGCAAAUCCUUCUUUCUGCUUCUUGGCUCGUUGAAGCUGGAAGUCCUGUUAAUGAACUCGGGACAUCCUGCCUUGAGCUAUCAUGCUAUGCAUGCUUCAAGUUUGAUAAUAUGCCUGUGCCUAUUACAUCCCAUCCUUCGUUUUCAUUUUGAAACGUGAAGAUCCUUUAUGUUUGCCCCUGCUUUCUUGGGAGGGUGUCAUUGAAUUCGGUGAGUUCACAUAAUCUGCUUGCUUCAAAUGCCCCCUGUCGCACUAAGUCAAAGGGGACGGGAAUGAUUUUCUGAGACAUGAAGUGAGUGAGUCAGAAAGACAAACAUGAUUAAAUUUAUCAUCUUGUUUUAACAAAAGCUUUUGGGUGAUGAAAUAUUUUUUUUCAAAAUACGUCUUUGGGGGAGAAAAAAGCAUGAGGAAGCCCAGCCCUCAGUAUUCUUUUUGGAUGAUAUAUUUUUUUUCAUGGUUGGAUAGCAUCACCGGGCUGGUUUGGAGUACCGCCUCAUGCUCUUAAAACAAAAUAUUAUAACUGCAUAAGAGAGUACUUGGAAUGGAAAAUACAACCGUAGCACACUAGACAAGAUAAGAAACAUGAAACUACAAAAACAAGUAAAACCCAUGAAAACUCCCGUGUAAAGGAGUGCUUUGAUAGUGUUGGUUCUGAAAUCAAGCGCCUUUGAGUUCCUCGCCUCCAGUAGACUCGAAGUAUUCACAUGAGAGGACCACUUCAUUGAAGCUAUGAAAAUGCAACCCAUACAACCAACAACGAUGCUUGCGAGGUAAAGCCCGUAUGAAUAGCUUUAUCAUCUCUUCUUCGACCAGCUGAGGGUAAGUUUGCAUCAUAAAAGCCUCCCACCUUCUUGCAUAUGCUCGGAAAUCCUCCAUUGGUCUUCUUCUGAAGUGAACUAAGUUCUGACAAGGCACUUCAGUUCCAAUCUGGCUUUGAUACUGAAGCAGGAAUGCAGAAGACAGCUCAUUCCAAUCCUUUAGAAGAUAAAUGUUUGCUGUGAUAAACCAUUGCAAUGCAGACCCUGUAAGACUUUCUUGGAAGGCCUGAGCGGUGAAUGACAUCGGGCCAUAGUACCGACUCAUUUUAGCAUGGAGGUACUGCAAGUGGACCACGGGGCAAGUCGUGCCGUUAUACUUGCGGAGAUUAGGUAUCCACAUCUCUCCAGAGGUCAGGAUCCUAUGAGGGCAAGACGUGCCUGGUAUGUCUUGGUUAGGCCACUGGUUUUCCCACUGCAUAUCUGUUGUAGUGGUGAAUUUUUCUAUUUCAGGGGAGUUGGAUUCUACCGAUAUUACCCCAUUGCUUUCUUCUUGGUCAAAAUUACCGAAGGAGGAUGAGGCAUUUAAGCUAUCCUCAUGGUCAGGUGACGAGCUUAGUACUUCGUUAGGAUCGUAGCGGAUAAAGACGUAUGCUUCCUCUUCUGACGGGCCUUCAUCCCCGGAUGAGAGUAGGAAACAGUUAUACGAUGAAUCGUCAGUUUCAUUGUCGAAAUAACGUUGGAAGUCCUUAGGAUUGUAUUCUAGGGCCGGGAAGUCUUCAAAAUUGUAUUCUUGGGAAUGCUCGAAGCUUUGGUGUGGUGGCUCGUCGACAGAUGCUGCAUUGAUUUGCUUAGGCUUUCUUUUCUUGGCUUCUGGUCCAAACCUUUUGAGUAAGGCCCUUCGUUUUGCUAGCUCGAUUCUGUCAAAAGAAGUGAGAGACAUUGGAGUUUCAGUAUCUGAUUCACUUCCCAAGUUGAUAGGGGUUGGUAUUCUUUGGACCCUAGCUCUUGGAGUAAGCUUGGGGAGUCGUCCAGUCGUGCCCCGGUCUUGAACAGGCUCUUUGUCUUUGAUCUCGUACAAAGGCUCCUUGCCUUUCCUAGUGGGAAAUUUUCCAGUAACAGGGUGUUGUUCAGCUGCCCAUUUAUCAUGCAAGGCUUCAUUAACAUGAUCUUCUCCUAUCUCAGCGACUAACGGUUCCUCGUGCUCCGCAAUCAUCAGUUUUUCGUAAGGCAAGGCUAUGUCAGGGUUGAUGUCAAUAUCAUAUUCUUGGUGAAAAACAUGAAUUAGUUCCAUCCAGGUUUUAAGGAGACUAAUCUUCCUGACAAUGUACCAUCGCAAGGCAGGGCUAGUCAAGCUCGAUUGGUACAAUUGAAUCAUCCUUCGAACCAGGUAGGCCUGCAAGUAGGUCUCUGGGCGGGAGGUAUCAACAUACCUUUCGCAUUCAGGUGCUUUGAGUUUUUCAGGGAUCUCAAUGCCGGCAUAAUUGGAUAGGUCCAUGGGAUUCUGCUCCUGCAGCUGGCUUAACUUUUUCAUGAUCCUUUCAAACUGUCUAUGGUACUGGCUAUUUUUUUGGCAAAUUUACGGGUGUCAUGACGGUGUUUAAGGCAACUAUAGAGUUGGGCUCAGCUUGAGUGGAUUUCAUUUGUCUCGAGAGUUGUUGAAGGACGAUGGACAUCUGUCCUACGCCGUCUUCAAUGUUAAUGAGGCGAUUUUGUACAUCAUUCUGAUCGGGCCCAAUUGUAUGAGGCCAUUCGCGAGCGAUUGGUGGCUGGCGAUUCAUAGUUACCUGUUCGUUGCGAAAACAAUGAAUGAGCACGAAAGUAAACAAAGAUUGACCCAUGGCAAUGGUCUAACUGCUUUUUUAUUUAUCAAAAGAGGAUUUAUAGACUGCCAACUCCUAACAGGAUGAAAUACUAGAUAUUAAACAAGAGUCCCUAAACAAUGGGACAGAACUUUCACACUAUUUCACUAAGGGGCACAUGAUUGCCAAUUUAUAUGCGACGGGGAGCCUUGUUCUUGCGAGAACACCUGCUUCCUUGAACUGGCUCUGAGAUGUGCAUCCAGUCCAUUCCCAAAUCCCUCUCCAUGAGCUCUGCUUGCUCGUGUUGGCUGCUCUCGCUGAUUGAGUGAGGGACUGAUGGCUUCCAUCUUGUCGGGAUACAAUGGUUGUGGAUGUAGGACAUGGAGGCGUGGUGGGCUUUUUCUUCUCCCUCAAGCCCUUCAGGUACCACGAUCCUUUUACGAUGGCACUUGUUCCAUGCUUCUUCAUAAAUGUCAACCAUGUAUUCAAAAUUUUGAUGAGUGAAGAGAAGUGGAGGGGUCCUCUUCUUGAAAGAUGGCGGGAUCUCCUGAAGGGCUCCAUACUGUCGUGCCACCCGUUGUGGGAAAUAGGAAAAAGCGCCGGUGAGGCCAAGCAGCGGAAUUGGAUGGCGACGCUUGAAAGCAACGCGAGCUCUCUUUUCAUAGAACCAACCAGCACACCAUUGGAAUGCCUCAGGAGCCGGGUCUCUUAGGAAAUUUAUCCAAUUUAAACAGCUUUGAUUGGGAAUGUAUGGUCCUAAAACCAUAAAUUUUUGUAAUGGAUUUUCGAAGUCAUUCAUUCCAGAUGAUCGCAUGAAGCCUUGGAAUUCGCUUAGGUGAGAAAAGAACCAGACUUGUAAAAUUUCAGGAGAGGCUCGCAUGAUUUUCUCCGUGUUGUCUUUAAAACGAUUAAAGGACAAUAAUGUUUCAGUUAAAAUCAUAUUGACAUAAUUUUGCCCCCUCAAGAUUUGAUCAACUAUCCAUGCCAUCUUAGGACUUAUGACAUUUCUUUGAUAGGGGGAAAUGAUGAACCCAAAAAAGCCUAGGAGGAAAAUCUCGCUUUUUUGGGUCAUAGGCUGAUUUUGAAAACAGGCAUUCAUGAAUUCUAGUGGGCAGGUAUUAUGGUUGCCUUCAAGGAUUUGUCUUAUGACAUGGAUUUCAGUUCCUAAAAGUCGCGCUAACCCUUGCCACGGGAGGAAGCCUGUCGAUGGCUUAACAAGCUUUUUCUCGAGAGGCAUUCCAGUGAUGAUGCUGUAUUCUUCCAGAGUCAGGGUUAGCUCAAACCCACCAAACAUAAAAGUAGUCAUCUUCAAGCACCAGAAAUGUGCCAUGGCCUGUAUGACUUCGGGACGAACAGUGAUUUGAAUCAACGAUAGGAGAUGACCGACUUUGGCCUUCACGCGCUCUUGGGCAAACUGAUCUAAUUGACCCCACCAUCUGAAGAGCUCCGCCUUGGGAGCAGGAAUGAAUUGGAUAUCGUCUUUCCCCAUCGCAUAUAAACUGGGACUUGAAAAGCUUAUCCUAAAUUGCCAUGGGCCAAAAUAAAAAGACUGAGUAAAAGUAAAGAAAUCACUUUGCUUUUAAAGAAAAAUGGCAAGCACAAAGACAUGCGCAUGGGACGUGCGGCUCGAUUUCUAACUCAGAAGGCUUGAUGAAAUUAAAAAGGUAUCCGCCCAUCGCAGUCUCGCGUUAGCAGCAUACCCCCUUAACCUUGGCUAAGAAAUUCGGGGAAAAGAAAGGCAACCUCUACAUCGCAGUCUCGCGUUCGAGGUCGUAUCUUUCUUAACACCAUCCUAAAAAUCCUAUGGCGGCCCAGGUCCGGCGGCCGGGUUGUGUGUGUCAUGUGCAGUGCUAAAACAUUUAAGGAUACACAGCAGUUUAUAAUCGCAAAACAUUUUAUUUUAACAGAAUAAAACUUUAAGCUAUUACCCUGCACAAAAGAAAAAAAAAAAAAAAACCAAGUCAGCAAGGCAUUUAAACAAAGAUAAAAUGGCCUAAGUCCUCAAAGUCCCCAGCGGAGUCGCCAAGCUGUCGCGACCUCUUUUUUUCUGGUGCCCGCAAUCGGGUACGGGCGCUUAAGGAGGCUAAUGGCUCGGCUGAAUUUAUUAAGCCCGGACUCUCCCAAGUCCACCAAUUCACGACUUUAAUAGUUUGAGUUUUUAACCUAUAAAUCAAUUUUUAAAAUGGAGUCGCCACUAAUCGAUUUGGGGUGGGUUGAUUAGAAACCCAAGUGAAGUAUCGGGAGAAAUACUCACUCCUGCGCAACCAGAGAAAUUAGGAUCGGGGACUUGAUUACACUAGUUAAUCACUAAUGCCCUUUCGGUACCUAAUCUUGUUUAAACCCUAAGGCUUUUUGGAUUUUUGAGAGAUUUUCCAUGCAUUUUUGGGAGGAAAAACAUUUUUUUUGAGUAUUUUUCUCAUUUUUUGGACAUAAAAGGGAUUUUUUGGUAUUUUUGGUAUUUUUUUGGAAAAAUACAAGUCUUUUUGGCUUUUUCUGAAUUUUUGGCUUUUUUUGGAAAAUAUGAAAUAUUUUUGAUUUUUUUGAUUUUCCGAAAAAUAAAAUAUUUUUUAAUAUUUUUUGAUAUUUUUGGAAAAUAAAUUAUUUUUUGAUUUUUCUCGAUUUUUUUAGAAAAUAAAACAUUUUCAACAAUUUUUAAUAUUUUUCGAUUUUCUGGAAAUUAAAACAUUUUUUUAUAUUUUUUUUUAAAAUAAAACACUUUUUGAUUUUUUUUGAAAAUAAAAUAUUAAUUAUUUUAUAUUAAAAUAAUGAAACAAAACCUGCCCGGGUCGGAUCUGCGGGUUGUGUCCGACCCGGGCUAGCGACCCGAACGAGGACGGGCCCGCAACUCGGAUUUUUUUUGGCUUUUUUCUUUUAAUACAAGCCCGGCCCAAAAUGUUUAAUCAAAGCCCAAGGAACAAAAGGAGUCCCUAUCCGCGUGAGACCGGCCCACUUGCGUCCAAGCCCGCUUGGCCCAGACUGACCGGAACCCUACCCGGUCAAGAUCCACGCCCGACCCGUCGACCGGCCCAGUUCCCGCGAGGAACCCUACCCGACGAGGCUUUCGCCCGACCCGGUCGCGACCCGAAUUUGCAAUCCCAAAUUCCAGUGCUUCUUUGCGGCGCUAGAGAGGGGAUGGCGGGGACGCCGGUAACUCGGCCAUGGUGGCGCGACGGGCGACGGAUCGGCGACGACAACGGCAGCUACAUGGACGACAGCAACGGCCGACUUCUCGAUGGGACGCGGCGCGGCAGCAACACAGAGCCUCUUGGCCAAUCAGGAUUGAGGCCGAGGCUAGGGUUUUCAAAAAAAGGGGGCGGCGAGGGGUGGCGAGCGAAAACGGCGACGGCCAAGAGGGGGCUGAUACCUGCUUAUGGAGAGGGUAUGGCGCGGCGGCGUGGGAAAAGGCGAUGACCCAGCACAAGCGGAACUCCGCGACGAGGGCUCCGAGUCACGGCGGUUCUUUGAGCUCCGAAGCAGCAGCGGAUCUGGGGGGGUGCAGGUGCGACGACGGGGCAGCUACGGCGGUCCGUUAGCUUCUCAAAUCUGGCACCUUUCCCUCCGAUUCCUCUCUCUCAGACCCGACCCUCUCGGACCUCUCCCCCUCGCUUCUCACUCCGGCUAGAUCCGAGCCUCCACCGGCCGGAUCUAACCUCCCCGAACUCGCUCACCGGCGACCUCCCCCGAAGUCUCUCAAUGGGAGGUCGGCCGAGCUCGCGACCCGAGUCCUCUCUCGCUCGCUCUUCGAUUCCUCCCC
rnacentral:lncRNA from 1 species